CGAACGGGUGAGUAAUGCGUGACCAACCUGCCCCAUGCUCCAGAAUAGCUCUUGGAAACGGGUGGUAAUGCUGGAUGCUCCAACUUGACGCAUGUCUUGUUGGGAAAGUGUUUAGUGGCGUGGGAUGGGGUCGCGUCCUAUCAGCUUGUAGGCGGGGUAAUGGCCCACCUAGGCUUCGACGGGUAGCCGGCCUGAGAGGGCGGACGGCCACAUUGGGACUGAGAUACGGCCCAGACUCCUACGGGAGGCAGCAGAA
rnacentral:rRNA from 1 species